AGUGAACGCUGGCGGUGUGCCUAACACAUGCAAGUCGAACGACAACACAGUAAGAUCUUGCUCUUACGGGUGGCGAGUGACGGACGGGUAAGGAAUACAUCGGAAUCUACUUUUUCGUGGGUGAUAACGUAGGGAAACUGACGCUAAUACCGCAUACGACCUACGGCUUAAAUCAAUAGAUCUUGGGACCUUGCGCGAUUGAAUGAGCCGAUGUCGGAUUAGCUAGUUGGCUGGGUAAGGGCCCACCAAGGCGACGAUCCGUAGCGGGCCUGAGAGGAUGAUCGGCCACACUGGAACUGAGACACGGUCCAGACUCCUACGGGAGGCAGCAGUGGGGAAUAUUGGACAAUGGGCGCAAGCCUGAUCCAGCAACACCGCGUGGGUGAAGAAGGUCUUCGGGUCGUAAAGCCCUUUUGUUGGGAAAGAAAAGCAGUAUGUUAAUAUACGGAUGUUCUGACGGUACCUAAAGAAUAAGCAACGGCUAACUUCGUG
rnacentral:rRNA from 1 species